UACGUAGGGUGCGAGCGUUAAUCGGAAUUACUGGGCGUAAAGCGUGCGUAGGCGGUUCUCCAAGUCCGUUGUGAAAGCCCCGGGCUCAACCUGGGAAUGGCAGUGGAAACUAGGGGACUGGAAUCUGGCAGAGGGGGGUGGAAUGCCGCGUGUAGCAGUGAAAUGCGUAGAGAUGCGGCGGAACACCGAUGGCGAAGGCAGCCCCCUGGGCUGAGAUUGACGCUCAGGCACGAGAGCGUGGGGAGCAAACAGG
rnacentral:rRNA from 1 species